UGUGUGUGUGUUUAUUCUGUUUGUGGUAUUUAUUCAUACAGAUGAACACACACUGCUGUAAUAUGUAAUAAAGAUGUUAAUGAAGGAUUUCAGAAUAACAAAACAUUUUACUGCAUGUCCUAAUCGUAUGUGUGACAAAUACAAUUUUAAUUUGAAGGUGUUAAGAAAAGUGGUAAUAUAGAUGUUCCUGAAGGUGGUAAUGAAGGUGUUACUGAAGGUGGUAAUGAAGGCGGUAAUGAAGGUGGUAAUGAAGGUGUUACUGAAGGCGGUAAUAAAGGCGGUAAUGAAGGCGGUAAUGAAGGCGGUAAUGAAGGUGUUACUGAAGGUGGUAAUGAAGGCGGUAAUGAAGGCGGUAAUGAAGGCGGUAAUGAAGGCGGUAAUGAAGGCGGUAAUGAAGGUGUUACUGAAGGUGUUACUGAAGGCGGUAAUGAAGGCGGUAAUGAAGGCGGUAAUGAAGGUGUUACUGAAG